UGAUUAUAGACAGACACUGGGGUGCAGAGU
rnacentral:piRNA from 1 species